AUACGGAGGGUUCAAGCGUUAUGCGGAAUCAUUGGGUUUAAAGGGUCCGCAGGCGGUCAAUUAAGUCAGAGGUGAAAGCCCAUCGCUCAACGAUGGAACUGCCUUUGAUACUGGUUGACUUGAGUUAUACGGAAGUAGAUAGAAUAAGUAGUGUAGCGGCGAAAUGCAUAGAUAUUACUUAGAAUACCGAUUGCGAAGGCAGUCUACUACGUAUAUACUGACGCUGAGGGACGAAAGCGUGGGGAGCGAACAGGAUUAGAUACCCUAGUAGUCC
rnacentral:rRNA from 1 species